GGCAAUUAAAGGGAGCAGGAGAGGAGAGGGCUCUUUUUUUAAUUCCGGGAAAAUAAGAGCCCCAGUUCUCAGAGCCUUUGCUCCCAAUCACCAGAUAAAUCUGCAACUCUUCUUCCUAGAUCCAGUUCUAUCUGCUUCCUGCAAAGUUUCAUCAUGGGUGCUGCAAUAUCAUAUUUACAAGAACAAAUGAAGGCUUUUGGAGGACAGAGAGGAGCUGUAAUUCAGUAGAAGAGCAUGUACUCUGCAUGCAGAAGAUCCUAGGUUCAGUUUCUGACAUCUCCAGGUUCAUUUUCUGGACUGCUGCUGGAAAUUUCCACUUAACCCAAUCUGAGGCUGGUUUAGAACUCCCCCUGACGUAACAUGCUCUCUCCUCUUUGGCUUCGCUGGCUCUGUGGUGGCAGAAAGAUGCCAGCAUUGCCAGGAUCCGGGAGGAUUCACAGUUGCUAAGCAAAACCAGCAAAACCUGGCUCUGAUGACUCCAGCUGCUGAGAACAAAACACAGCCUUGCCUUGAAUGCUGUCUUUGGGUCAUGCUAGGAUGUGACAAAACAUUAGGCUUUGACUUUCAUAUAUCUAGAUGUUCUCUAGUAUUCGUUCUUGGAUAAUGUAUUGUAUUUUGUGGU